rnacentral:tRNA from 1 species
GCCCCCAUAGCCCAAUUGGCAGAGGCAGUCGGCUUAAAACCGAUACAGGUCAGGGUUCGAGUCCCUGUGGGGGCACCA